UGAAAUUUUCGAAAAUUGUUUAUAGUUUCUUGUUUAUCGAUUUUGUUGUUGGUGACUAUUGUGAAUUCGGAACAUGUGACGAAAAUACCGAAUAUUGUUGCGGCGAAGAUAAAUGCUGCAAAAAGUCUGUAGAAAUUUGGGCUGCGGUUUCGCUAAUCAUAGUAACAGCAUUUGUAACAGUAUGUCUAUAUGUUCGCAGGAUUACAAAUAAAUACCGAACUUACAGGAAAUUAGAACAAAACUGUGAAAAUGUUAAGACAAAGAUGGGGCAUUUUACU